GAUUCGGCAGCAGCAGCAGAACAACGAGAGGAGGGAGCGCGCGUAAAGCAGCUCGUCCACGGAGCGGCCGCCGCUCUGGGACCGGAGGGUGAGCCGCUUCAGCCGGAGGUGGAGGCGGCGGAGCCGGAGCUCGGGGUCGGCGAAGUAGGGGGCGCGGUAGUGGGCCAUGUACAUGAGCAGGUGGAGCGUCGGAGGGGAGGAGUGGCGGCGGAGCAUGUGGGCCGUGCGGCGCGCGCGGGACGGGAACCGGUGGUCGCGCGCGUGGUCGGAGCACUCGAACAUGUGCAGGUGGGGGUGGGUGCCGGGGAGGCUGAGGCUCUCGGCGGGCGGCGGCGCGGCGAGGAGGAAGAGGAGCUCCUUGCGGAGGUGCUCGCGCAGGUGCCGCGGCGGCCGCCGGAGCCUCCCGCCGCUCCUCCUCUGCUUGCACCGCAUCUCGAGGCCCAGCCCGGCCAUGGUCCCGAGCCGCGCGCGGUGCACCUCGCGCCGCUCCCGCUCCCUGGUCACCGGGACGGCGACCUCGAGCCGGUACCGCCGCUCCUCUAGCCGGGCCUCCUCCGCCGGCUCCCUGCGCCUCCGGCGCGGCGCCCGCCGGCUGCCCCUCGCCAGCCGCCGCCACUCCGCGAACUCCCUGACGUGCCGCACCUACCGGAGGCACCUCUCCCUCGCCGGCGCGACCUCGCCCGGCGCCAACAGCGCGCCCGGCGUCCACUACCGGGGCCGGGAUCCGGACCGGCGCCGCGCGCCCCUCCGGCACCCGCAGCACACGCCGUCCUUCUCCUCCCUGCGGUACCCUCCGCUCACACCCUCGACU
rnacentral:rRNA from 1 species